rnacentral:rRNA from 1 species
CACGUAGGGCGCAAGCGUUGUCCGGAAUUAUUGGGCGUAAAGAGCUCGUAGGUGGUUUGUUACGUCUGCUGUGAAAACCUAGGGCUUAACCCUGGGCUUGCAGUGGAUACGGGCAGACUAGAGGUAGGUAGGGGAGAAUGGAAUUCCUGGUGUAGCGGUGAAAUGCGCAGAUAUCAGGAGGAACACCGGUGGCGAAGGCGGUUCUCUGGACCACUACUGACGCUGAGGCGCGAAAGCUAGGGGAGCAAACAGG